rnacentral:rRNA from 1 species
UACGUAGGGGGGCAAGCGUUGUCCGGAUUUAUUGGGCGUAAAGAGCGUGUAGGCGGCUAGAUAGGUCCGUUGUGAAAACUCGAGGCUCAACCUCGAGACGCCGAUGGAAACCAUCCAGCUAGAGUGCGGAAGAGGCGAGUGGAAUUCCUGGUGUAGCGGUGAAAUGCGCAGAUAUCAGGAGGAACACCAGUGGCGAAGGCGGUGCUCUGGGCCGGAACUGACGCUGAGGAGCGAAAGCGUGGGGAGCAAACAGG